UACGUAGGCAGCGAGCGUUGUUCGGAAUUACUGGGCGUAAAGAGUGUGUAGGUGGUGCUCUAAGUUCGGUGUGAAAUCUCCCGGCUUAACUGGGAGGGUGCGCCGAAAACUGGAGUGCUCGAGCGUGGGAGAGGAAAGCGGAAUUCCGCGUGUAGCAGUGAAAUGCGUAGAGAUGCGGAGGAACACCGAUGGCGAAGGCGGCCUUCUGGGCUCUACCUGACGCUGAGACGCGAAAGCGUGGGGAGCGAACCGG
rnacentral:rRNA from 1 species